rnacentral:lncRNA from 1 species
CGUCCACCAUCUCCUAGGAUAUCUAGUCAGGCUGUCCACAUUAUCCAUUUUGCCUUUUUCCUUGAUCUUAAUCAUCCAAUCAUACACAACAUGUAAACCAGUAAUUGACACCAAACAAGACAACACAGUAUCGGGUUCACCAUAAUACAAACCAUAAUAAAAGAAACCAUGAUUCAUGCAUACGAGACCAUAACAUAAUUACAUCAAACAUCAUA